CGAGCGCAACCCUUGUCCUUAGUUACCAGCACGUUAUGGUGGGCGACUCUAAGGAGACUGCCGGUGACAAACCGGAGGAAGGUGGGGAGUGACGUCAAGUCAUCAUGGCCCUUACGGCCUGGGCUACACACGUGCUACAAUGGUCGGUACAAAGGGUUGCCAAGCCGCGAGGUGGAGCUAAUCCCAUAAAACCGAUCGUAGUCCGGAUCGCAGUCUGCAACUCGACUGCGUGAAGUCGGAAUCGCUAGUAAUCGUGAAUCAGAAUGUCACGGUGAAUACGUUCCCGGGCCUU
rnacentral:rRNA from 1 species